UUUAGGGACAAGAAUCAGAUUCAGAAAUCUCUAGAUAAUAAAACUGAAAUCAUUAUUAUUUUGUAUAAAUAUAUCUACAUUACUUGCUUAUUUAAUAAAGGAAUACAUUUUUAAUUUUCUAGGCUAUUAUACAUGAAAUGUUGCUUUGGCUUUUGCUUUAAAAAAAAAAAAGUAUUUGGUAACAUGUGGACAUUUACUAAGCAAAUGUGAUAGCUUAAGAUUGAGGGUAGCCACCUGUAAUCCCAGCACUUUGGGAGGCCGACACAGCCAGAUCACGAGGUCAGGAGUUCAAGACCAGCCUGACCAACAUGGUGAAACCCCGUCUCUACUAAAAAUUAAAAAACAAACAAAAAAAACGAAAGAAAAGAAAAUUAGCCGGGUGUGGUGGCAGGCACCUGUAAUCCCAGCUACUCGGGAGGCUGAGGCAGGAGAUAUAAUUCCUCAAUUUAGCCUUCCCACCUCAAUACAGUCUGAUAACAGACGAGCCUUUAUUAGUCAAAUCAGCCAAGCAGUUUUUCAGGCUCUUAGUAUUCAGUGAAACCUUUAUAUCCCUUACGGUCCUCCAUCUUCAAGAAAAGUAGAAUGGACUAAAGGUCUUUUAAAAACACACCUUACCAAGCUCAGCCACCAACUUAAAAAGGACUGGACAAUACUUUUACCACUUUCCCUUCUCAGAAUUCAGGCCUGUCCUCGGAAUGCUACAGGGUACAGCCCAUUUAAGCUGCUGUAUAGACAUAACUUGGCCCAUGAUAGCUAGUAUUCAGUUCUUCCUUUUAUGCACAACCACAGCCAGCAGGAAGCUACCAGAGAAUAUGCACCAGUGAAAUAAGGUUGUAAAUAAAAAAGAUAUGCAAUCCAUGAAACAGAACAUCCAGCCAAGGAUCAUAACAGCAAAUGCCAGCUCUGGUGAGCACGUUAUAUUGAAAAGGGUGUGACUGUGGUGAAAGACUUGCCACAAAUCAUGAAACAAAACCAACCAGCACUGACAGAUCAUUUAAAAUGUUUAAAUACUUCUUUGUUUGACAUUUAAAAUGUUAGUCACGUUUCUGCAAUUUUACCGCCUGAAAAUAUGUUCACUGCAAAAUUUUGGCAUAACCAAAAGCACAUCUGGAAGUUACAUUUCUCAAUAAGCUAAAAAUAGGAUUUAGGGUUAACCUGAAGUGUGUCAGCAAUUCUCUGAGAAGGGUGGAUUAGAGUGCUCCUAAAUAAUGCUGAAGUGUUUACAAUUCAAACACACCUGAGGCAUCUCUUCACAUCCUGUUUUCCUGUAACUCUUGUGAUCUCCUGGGCCCUUGUGCGUCACCUGGGUUGGAGGAUUAUCCAUCCGCUCUUUCUAAAACAUGCUCUAAAAAAUGUCUUAGGAAAAACACUAUCUAAAGUCGUUUAUAAGCUAUUCAAAUUUUUAGUAAAAUAUCAAUGAAAAGACUUUCUAAAUGCCUGCCACAUGACACCUUCGUGUACCAAAACCUAUCAAAAUUACAUCUUAAAGUCAUUUUUUGUUUUCACUGACAGGACCAUAUUUCUCUUGCAGUUGUGUAGUUUGCAAUGCCAGAUGUAGGGAUGUCAAUAUUUAAUGGAUAAAAAUAUAUUUUAUAAAGGAGCCCACUGGGAUCACUUCUAAAGGCAAGAGGGGAAUAACAGACAAUGGGGCGUGCUUGAGGCUAGAGUGUGGGAGGAGAGAGGGGAUCCAAAAAAUUAACUAUUGGGUACUAGGCUUAGUACGAGGGUGACAAAAUAAUCUGUAGAACAAACCCCCAUGCACGAGUUUACCUAUAUAACACACCUGCACAUAUUGCCCUGAACCUAAAAUAAAAUUUUAAAAAAAUAAAUACUCUAUAGUAAAAUCAAAGAUAACUAUAAACAUAAUAUUUUGGUAAAUGAGUUAAAUUACUGAAUAGUCUAGUGUUUAGCAAAAAUUUACAAAAACUAUAUUUUCCACUUUGACUUUAAGGAUAAUUUAGGAGAUUACAUAUGUUGCUUAUUACUGACAGCAAGAGAGAUUAUUAUUUUGAGAUUCUAAUCUUUAAGUAUUCUUAUUUGUAGAAAAGUAUUAAAGGUAAUAAUAAAAUAAAAUAAUUUAUUUAAAGGAAUUUUUAGUACGUAUUUGCAAAGUGAGGUAUCUCUUUACAAACAGUUACUGUACUAAGUUGUGUAUGUCUAUGUUUACAUUUGUAGGUCUUGUUUUUCUAAGGCUAUAAUGAGUAUAGUUAAUCGAUAAUAUUACUUUUGCUUAAAAAGUAAGUUAAGUCAUAAAGAUAUUUAAAUGUUUGGAAAACAUUCUUAUGCAUGUAUCUACACUGUUCUCUUUUCCUGUGCUCUUCAUUUCUUUAUGGAAAUCUGAAUUUUAUAUGGAUAGAUUUUCAAUGUCAAGUGUUGAUCAAGAAACAAGUCACCAGAUUAUACUUUAAAUACCACAGGUUCAAUGUAAAUUUAAUAAAAACACUUGUAUAUAAGAUAUACGUAUCUAUUAUUAAUGAAUAUAUAAGGAAUAGAAUUUAAUAUUAACAACAUUUAGAAAUAAACAGCCUAAGUUAAGAAUAGUGAUGCUUGGGAGAGUGUGAAAGGGAGUGGAACAGAAUGUGGGAAGAAUUUUUAAAACUAUUUUGACUGUGUCUGUAAAAUUUGUAAUUUUUAUUAAAGCAGAUUUAGUUAAACAUGUUAAAUUUUAAUGUUAUUUUUAAUUCUAGUUAGAAUAUACAUGAGUGUUUGUUAUAAUUUCACCCUCACUACGGGGAAUUAAAACUUUUCUCAAAUUAACAUGAAAAAGAACAAAUGCACACAUCUCAGCAGAAUCAGAAAAAAAACUAAAGAUAAAAGUAAGGUAUCAUCCUUAGGAUCAAAAGCAACAGCUUUGCAAAUGUGCACAGAAUGAGAUAUGCUAUAAUUAUUCAUCACCUCUUUCUCACAAUGUAACAACUAUUUAAGAAGAAUGGUUUAGUUAUUUUAAAAGAGUGUUUUCGGGUUUUUUUUCUGCCCAAAAAAAAAAAGUACUAUUACCUUUUUUUCCUGGGUUUACUUGGUAUAUAAAAUUCUUUUUAAAAUUUUAUUUUUCCUUAAGUUAUUGGUAUACAGGUGAUAUUUGGUUACAUGAGUAACUUCUUUAGUGGAGAUCUGUGAGAUCCUGGUGCACCCAUCACCUGACCGGUAUACACUGAACCAUACUUGUUGACUUUUAUGCCUCGCCCCCCCUCCCACUCUUCCCCAAAGUAUAUUGUAUCAUUCUUAUGCCUUUGGGUCCUCAUAGCUUAAGUCUCAUAUGUUAGAGAGAACAUACAAUGUUUGCUUUUCCAUUACUGAGUUAUUUCACUUAGAAUAAUAGUCUCUAAUCUCAUCCAGGUCAUUGUAAAUGCUGUUAGUUCAUACCUUUUUAUGGCUGAGUAGUAUUCCAUCAUAUAUAUAUAUCACAGUUUUUUUAUCCACUUGUUGAUCAAUGGGCAUUGGAGUUGGUUCCACGAUUUUGCUAUUGUGAAUUGUGCUGCUAUAAACAUGUGUGUGCAAGUAUCUUUUUUGAAUUACGACUAAAAGAAUGGUUUAACUAUUUAAAAAGAAUGAUUAUCACCAAAUGAAUUUGGUGAUACCAUCAAAUGAAUUUGGUGAUAAUACAUGACAUGAUAAUUAUGAUAAUAAUUUUAAAGCAGAAAUCAGUCAAUAUUUUCAGAGAGAGAUUAUACAAAUGCAAUUUAGACUAUAACAGUUUAGACUUAUAUCUUAGAGCAUGUUAACAUGUGGGGAAAAUGAUCUCUUGUGUGGUUAUUUAGAAAGGGAAACUUUUAAAGAAGAAAGCAUAAAUGUGGGCAUAUUCUCAUCUUUUACUUAAUGUAAUUAGAGUGAACAUAUUGAAGCCACAUACUAGAAUUUUAU
rnacentral:lncRNA from 1 species